rnacentral:tRNA from 1 species
GGAGAGGUACCAAAGUUGGUCGAACGGGCCGCACUCGAAAUGCGGUAGGGGCGCAAGCUCCUCCAGGGUUCGAAUCCCUGCCUCUCCG